CACCAGCAGCUUGUGGCCCUUGAAGGAAGAAAUCUUCCACCUUCCAGAAACCUGAUAUUUUGGACCAGAUCCCUCUCUGAACAGGUUGUAUGCUGCCCUUUUCAAAAUCAAGCUAUCAGAAGAUGCCCUUCAGCAGAAGUGUUAAGAGGACUUGGUGAGCUUAACAUGUUUCGCCUGCUUAAUUUAAUUUGGAAAAAUUCAACCAGAAAAUGAAGUUAUUAACAGG
rnacentral:lncRNA from 1 species